rnacentral:piRNA from 1 species
UGAGAACUACCUCACUAUCCGGGGAGCAGC